rnacentral:lncRNA from 1 species
CUUGGAAGAUGCUGCACAUUAAUCACUUUGUAUCGCACCAAUCAGCUGUUCAGUUGGAUUGUCCUGCUCAACUCUUCAGGAAUUUUUGAAGGGAUUUUUUUGGUUUCUGAAACUCAUUUAAAGAUUUGCUGCAAACCACACCACAGUGGGGAUCUCAUGAACUUCAAGCCCUGUGAUUAUAAAUGCUUCCAGGAGUUAAUGUCGCUAACCAGUGUUUUUAGGCUUGAUCAUCUAAAUUCUCACUUAUGCCACUGAGAGGCAAGCGCCUUUUGCUUAAUUUUGCUAAAAAUAUGACGCUAUUGUUCUCAAGCCAAAGCAUGUGGUGGGAGGAAGAGGAGGAGCUACUUUCCAAGCUAAUUACAGAGGCACAGCUCCUCUGUUUUAUGAGCAGCAGUAGAGGGGAGAAGAGAAAAAAUGAUUUUUCUCUGAUGACUGAGGACAUAUUUAUGACAUGCGAUUCUCAGAGAGAAAGAGAUUACUGGAAUAUCACACUACUAUUUGGAGUUUCUUGAGUGUAAUUACUUUUUAUUUUUCCUGAUUCUGUACAGAUUUGAUACUGUGAAAACAUAACUUAUGUUUCAAAUCCUUUAUUAAUACAGUCAUGUUGUGUCAGGCAGCUGAGGUAUUCAUGCCACCAAAAUCAUACCUAAAUUAGUAUCUUGAUAAAUAAAUAUCACCUGCAGGAAAUCAUGAGUGUUUUUUAACUCUGCAUAUCAUUGUUUGUUGUGGUACUAAUUGUGAAAGAAUGUCAACAAUUGAAAGACACCUGCAUCCCCUGGCCUACUGUUUGAUUUGCUAAUGUAACAUCAUAAAACAGUAGUACAUCAUGAAAAUUACUAUGUUCCUCUGGUAAAUAAUCAAGUACAUUUUUAAGACGUGGGAAAGGUUGCAAUGUGAUUGACUACUAUGAACAUUUUUGAUUACAUGUUAGCAUUAACUCUGAGAGUAAAAUUCAGUCCCUCUUCUUCAAGCUCUUUUUCUCUAUAUUACUUUCUCUUCUUUUUCGUAAGAACUUUGGCAAUAAAAUGAAUGUUUUCAGCACCUGAAAAAUAAUUCAAUUAUAGGAAUUUCCCGAGCUGCGCCUGUUUGGUUACCUCUGGGGAACAGCUGCCAGUGGGGGUUGUGAUAGGAGUCAGCAGAGCUCUCCAUGAGCAAUGAGUGAGCAGAAAGUUCAGCUCCUUGGAAAGACAGUUUCCUGCAGUGUCUCUUCAGUAUUUACCUUCUUCUGAUUUCCAGCUUGAAUGAAUGCAGCCACGAUACAGACACAGUCCUCCAGCGAAGCAGGCAGAACACAGUAAGGGCAAACAGUCCCGAGAAAGGAAGGGAGGGAAGAAUGUGGGGCAAAGUUGCUGUAUAAUGCUGCCUGGAACAUCAGAUUCCCAUCUGGAAGUUCAAGAUGGUGGAAGAUGUUUAUGCCAGAGGUAAAAGGAUAAAGAUGGCAGAUUACAUAUGAAUCCUCAGCAGUGUGAGUGCUGUAUUUGAGUCAUUCUUGGACCUGGCUAUCCCAUCUUACAAAAACAUCUGAUUUGGGAUAUAACAAAGUGCUUUUAUAUGAUUUCCAUCAUGGAAUUUGCCACUGGACGUACAAGCGCUACACCCGCAUGUUUACAAAAUAACCUAAUUCGCAGUAGGUAUUUUACUUGGGUUUUUAGCUUUUGGGUAUGGUUUGGAAUUAUAAGUCACUCUAAAGAUGAAUAUAUGGUACAGCUUCAAUGCUUGGUCCUGCUCUACACUUAUUUUUAAAAAUAAUUACCUCAAAGUACUGCUAAUAUAGAAGCUUAUUAAAAUUUAACCAAUGCUUUGAAAGAACCAAAAUCUUAUUGUUAAAGUCAGUUAGUUCAAAUAUAGUUAAUACAAAAUAUCUGCUGACUGCAAGUCCUCCUUACCCUAGUAGACAGAACCAUUAAGGUCACAGUGACAGGAUUAUUCUUUCCAU